AGUGAACGCUGGCGGUAGGCCUAACACAUGCAAGUCGAACGGCAGCACAGUAAGAGCUUGCUCUUACGGGUGGCGAGUGGCGGACGGGUGAGGAAUACAUCGGAAUCUACUUUUUCGUGGGGGAUAACGUAGGGAAACUUACGCUAAUACCGCAUAUGGCCUACGGGUGAAAGCAGGGGAUCUUCGGACCUUGCGCGAUUGAAUUAGCCGAUGUCGGAUUAGCUAGUUGGCGGGGUAAAGGCCCACCAAGGCGACGAUCCGUAGCUGGUCUGAGAGGAUGAUCAGCCACACUGGAACUGAGACACGGUCCAGACUCCUACGGGAGGCAGCAGUGGGGAAUAUUGGACAAUGGGGGCAAGCCUGACCCAGCCAUACCGCGUGGGUGAAGAAGGCCUUCGGGUUGUAAAGCCCUUUUGUUGGGAAAGAAAAGCAGCAGGUUAAGACCCCGCUGUUCUGACGGUACCCAAAGAAUAAGCACCGGCUAACUUCGUG
rnacentral:rRNA from 1 species